rnacentral:misc_RNA from 1 species
AUAAAACAUGCCUGCAAACACUCCAAUAGUUGUUGCCGUACCCCAGUUCACCGUUCCGGGCAAUUUUUUAGUACUAGUUGACGCCGUUUCUUCGGAUUUCUCAGCUACUUCCAUCGUCAAAUAGAUCUCUAACUAUAAACUUGAAGCAGAUGGUAACACUACUACACCGAAGGCCAGAAAACCAUUGAUCGCCGGCGAAAAAAG